GCGGGGAUAGACAGAUCCAAAAAUUUGGUUUGAUCGAUUUUGAUAUAUGGAACGUCAAAAUCGGAGUUCGUAUGCGGAAAUUAUGGCUGUUUUACGAACGGACUCUGAAUUAGAAGACAAAACGGUCCGGAAGUGGGAAAAAUUUGCGGCGGUGGCUAGAAAUUGAUGGAAACGGUGGGAAGAAGCACACAAAUUGGACUCUAACAAGACCUAACGAGUAACAAGACCUCGACUAGUACACAAACUCAACACUACGGACUGUGAAACUGAAAUAUGCAAAGGCUAUGGCGCGGAUGGGUUGUAGGACAUGAAAACAAUAUGGCACCAGACUUAUGGGACGAACACAAGGACACUCGAAAUUAAGGAUAGAUGUGAACCUAAUGGUAUGUAUAAAGCUUUGAUUACCACUUGAGGAGAAUAAGUGUGGCCCGAUCUUCCGAAAGGUUCUCAUAACUAUCGAUUUGGUGGAAACGAGACACAAAUCAAUCCAGCAUACGAACAACACGGUUUGAAACCCUGCAAUUCUUUUUAUUUAUUUUUUUUGAUAUUUUGCUUUUACUUAGGAGCACUCAAGAAGUAAGCACAGGAAAUUUGAGCUUAAACAAGUGAAAGACGUGGCUUGUGGAAUUUUUUGAAGAUUGCGAAAAAUAUAAAAAAAUUAGGAGGUGAAAACUCAAACUUCAGAGGCGAAUUUGGGGAUUCUAAAAUUACCGAACUAGCCUUUGGCUGAAAUAUGCGAAGGCUAUGGCGCGGAUGGGUUGUAGGACAUGAAAACAAUAUGCCACUAGACUUAUGGGACGAACACAAGGACACUCGAAACUAAGGGUAGAUGUGAACCUAAUGGUAUGUCUCAUGCUUUGAUUACCACUUGAGGAGAACAAGUGUGGCCUGAUCUUCCGAAAGGUUGUGGUAAAUAUCGAUCUGGUGGAAACGAGACACAAAACAAUCCAGCUUGCGGACAACACGAUUAAAAACCCUACAAUUCUUUUUAUUUUUUUAUAUUUUUCUUUUACUUAGGUGCACUCAAGAAGUAACCACAUGAAAUUUGAGCAUAAACAAGUGAAAGACGUGGCAUGUGGAAAUUUUUGAAAAUUACAAAAAAUAUGAAAAAAACUUUUAGAGGUGAAAACUCAAACUUCAGAGGCAAAUUUGGGGAUUCUAAAAUUGUCAAACCCGCACACGGCGAGGAUAGACUGAUCCAAAAAUUUGGUUUGAUCGAUUUGGAUAUAUGGAACGUCAAAAUCGGAGUUCGUAUGCAAAAAUUAUGGUUGUUUUACGAACGGACUCCGAAUAAGAAGACAAAACGGUCCGCAAGUGGGAAAAAUUUGCGGCGGUGGCUAGAAAUUGAUGAAAACGGUGGGAAAAAACACACAAACUGAACUCAAACAAGACCUAACCAGUAACAAGACCUCGACCAGGACACAAACUCAAAACUACGGACAAAGGCUAUGGCGCGGAUGGGUUGUAGGACAUGAAAACAAUAUGCCACUAGACUUAUGGGAUGAACACAAGGACACUCGAAACUAAGGGUAGAUGUGAACCUAACGGUAUGUCUCAUGCUUUGAUUACCACUUGAGGAGAACAAGUGUGGCCCGAUCUUCCGAAAGGUUCUGGUAACAAUCGAUUUGGUGGAAACGAGACACAAAUCAAUCCAGCUUGCAAACAACAUGAUUCGAAACCCUACAAUUCUUUUUAUUUUUUUAUAUUUUUCUUUUACUUAGGAGCACUCAAGAAGUAACCACAGGAAAUUGGAGCUUAAACAAGUGAAAGACGUGGCCUGUGGAAAUUUUUGAAAAUUGCGAAAAAUUUGAAAAAAACUUUUGGAGGUGAAAACUCAAACUUUAGAGGCGAAUUUGGGGAUUCUAAAAUUGUCAAACCCGCACACAGCGGGGAUAGACUGAUCCAAAAAUUUGGUUUGAUCGAUUUUGAUAUAUGGAACGUCAAAAUCGGAGUUCGUAUGCGAAAAUUAUGGCUGUUUUACGAACGAACUCCGAAUUAGAAUACAAAACGGUCCGCAAGUGGGAAAAAUUUGCGGCGGUGGCUAGAAAUUAAUGGAAACGGUGGGAAAAAACACACAAACUCGACUGAAACAAGACCUAACCAGUAACAAGACCUCGACCAGGACACAAACUCAACACUACGGACAAAGGCUAUGGCGCGGAUGGGUUGUAGGACAUGAAAACAAUAUGCCACUAGACUUAUGGGAUGAACACAAGGACACUCGAAACUAAGGGUAGAUGUGAACCUAACGGUAUGUGUCAUGCUUUGAUUACCACUUGAGGAGAACAAGUGUGGCCCGAUCUUCCGAAAGGUUCUGGUAACUAUCGAUUUGGUGGAAUCGAGACACAAAUCAAUCCAGCUUGCGAACAACACGAUUCGAAACCCAACAAUUCUUUUUUAUUUUUUUUAUAUUUUUCUUUCACUUAGGAGCACUCAAGAAGUAACCAUAGGAAAUUAGAGCUUAAACAAGUGAAAGACGUGGCCUGUGGAAAUUUUUGGAAAUUGUGAAAAAUAUGAAAAAAACUUUUGGAGGUGAAAACUCAAACUUCAGAGGCGAAUUUGGGGAUUCUAAAAUUGUCAAACCCGCACACGGCGGGGAUAGACAGAUCCAAAAAUUUGGUUUGAUCGAUUUUGAUAUAUGGAACGUCAAAAUCGGAGUUCGUAUGCGGAAAUUAUGGCUGUUUUACGAACGGACUCUGAAUUAGAAGACAAAACGGUCCGGAAGUGGAUAAAAUUUGCGGCGGUGGCUAGAAAUUGAUGGAAACGGUGGGAAGAAGCACACAAAUUGGACUCUAACAAGACCUAACGAGUAACAAGACCUCGACUAGUACACAAAUUCAACACUACGGACUGUGAAACUGAAAUAUGCAAAGGCUAUGGCGCGGAUGGGUUGUAGGACAUGAAAACAAUAUGCCACUAGACUUAUGGGACGAACACAAAGACACUCGAAACUAAGGGUAGAUGUGAACCUAACGGUAUGUCUCAUGCUUUGAUUACCACUUGAGGAGAACAAGUGUGGCCCGAUCUUCCGAAAGGUUCUCAUAACUAUCGAUUUGGUGGAAACGAGACACAAAUCAAUCCAGCUUACGAACAACACGGUUUGAAACCCUACAAUUCUUUUUUUUUUGAUAUUUUCCUUUUACUUAGGAGCACUCAAGAAGUAAGCACAGAAAAUUUGAGCUUAAACAAGUGAAAGACGUGGCUUGUGGAAUUUUUUGAAGAUUGCGAAAAAUAUAAAAAAAUUAGGAGGUGAAAACUCAAACUUCAGAGGCGAAUUUGGGGAUUCUAAAAUUACUGAACCUGCCUUUGGCUGAAAUAUGCGAAGGCUAUGGUGCGGAUGGGUUGUAGGACAUGAAAACAAUAUGGCACUAGACUUAUGGGACGAACACAAGGACACUCGAAACUAAGGGUAGAUGUGAACCUAAUGGUAUGUCUCAUGCUUUGAUUACCACUUGAGGAGAACAAGUGUGGCCCGAUCUUCCGAAAGGUUCUGGUAAAUAUCGAUCUGGUGGAAACGAGACACAAAUCAAUCCAGGUUGCAAACAACACGAUUCGAAACCCUACAAUUCUUUUUAUUUUUUUAUAUUUUUCUUUUACUUAGGAGCACUCAAGAAGUAACCACAUGAAAUUUGAGCUUAAACAAGUGAAAGACGUGGCAUGUGGAAAUUUUUGAAAAUUACAAAAAAUAUGAAAAAAACUUUUAGAGGUGAAAACUCAAACUUCAGAGGCA
rnacentral:lncRNA from 1 species